GACGAACGCUGGCGGCGUGCUUAACACAUGCAAGUCGAACGGAAAGGCCCUGCUUUUGUGGGGUGCUCGAGUGGCGAACGGGUGAGUAACACGUGAGUAACCUGCCCUUGACUUUGGGAUAACUUCAGGAAACUGGGGCUAAUACCGGAUAGGAGCUCCUGCUGCAUGGUGGGGGUUGGAAAGUUUCGGCGGUUGGGGAUGGACUCGCGGCUUAUCAGCUUGUUGGUGGGGUAGUGGCUUACCAAGGCUUUGACGGGUAGCCGGCCUGAGAGGGUGACCGGCCACAUUGGGACUGAGAUACGGCCCAGACCCCUACAGGAGGCAGCAGUGGGGAAUAUUGCACAAUGGGCGGAAGCCUGAUGCAGCAACGCCGCGUGCGGGAUGACGGCCUUCGGGUUGUAAACCGCUUUCGCCUGUGACGAAGCGUGAGUGACGGUAAUGGGUAAAGAAGCACCGGCUAACUACGUG
rnacentral:rRNA from 1 species